rnacentral:rRNA from 1 species
GACCAGACUCCUACGGGAGGCAGCAGUGAGGAAUAUUGGUCAAUGGCCGAGAGGCUGAACCAGCCAAGUCGCGUGAGGGAAGAAUGUCCUAAGGAUUGUAAACCUCUUUUGUCGGGGAGCAAAAAGGCUCUGCGGAGUCGUAUUGAGAGUACCCGAAGAAAAAGCAUCGGCUAACUCCGUGCCAGCAGCCGCGGUAAUACGGAGGAUGCGAGCGUUAUCCGGAUUUAUUGGGUUUAAAGGGUGCGUAGGCGGGACGGUAAGUCAGCGGUAAAAAUGCGGAGCUCAACUCCGUCGAGCCGUUGAAACUGCCGUUCUUGAGUGAGCGAGAAGUAUGCGGAAUGCGUGGUGUAGCGGUGAAAUGCAUAGAUAUCACGCAGAACUCCGAUUGCGAAGGCAGCAUACCGGCGCUCAACUGACGCUGAAGCACGAAGGCGUGGGUAUCGAACAGGAUUAGAUACCCUAGUA